AUUGAACGCUGGCGGCAGGCCUAACACAUGCAAGUCGAACGAGUGGCGGACGGGUGAGUAAUGUCUGGGAAACUGCCCGAUGGAGAGGGAUAACUACCUGAAACGGUAGCUAAUACCGCAUACCAUCGGAUGUGCCCAGAUGGGAUUAGCUUGUAGGUGAGGUAACGGGUAACCUAGGCGACGAUCCCUAGCUGGUCUGCGAGGAUGACCAGCUACACUGGAACUGAGACACGUUCCAGACUCCUACGGGAGGCAGCAGUAGGUAAUAGGGCACAAUGGGCGCAAGCCGGAUGCAGCGAUGCGGCGUGGAUGAAGAAGGCGUUCGGGUUGUAAAGUACUGUCAGCGGGGAGGCGUUACCCGCAGACGAAGCACCGGCUAACUCCGUGUCAGCAGCCGCGGUAAUUC
rnacentral:rRNA from 1 species